UCGCCUGAAGGAAGCUGGAAAGACGGAGCAAUCUGUCACUUGAGGAUGGGCCUGCGGCGCAUUAGCUAGUUGGUGAGGUAACGGCUCACCAAGGCGACGAUGCGUAGCCGACCUGAGAGGGUGAUCGGCCACACUGGGACUGAGACACGGCCCAGACUCCUACGGGAGGCAGCAGUAGGGAAUCUUCCGCAAUGGGCGAAAGCCUGACGGAGCAAUGCCGCGUGAGUGAUGAAGGUUUUCGGAUCGUAAAGCUCUGUUGCCAGGGAAGAACGUCCUUGAGAGUAACUGCUCAAGGAGUGACGGUACCUGAGAAGAAAGCCCCGGCUAACUACGUGCCAGCAGCCGCGGUAAUACGUAGGGGGCAAGCGUUGUCCGGAAUUAUUGGGCGUAAAGCGCGCGCAGGCGGUCAUUUAAGUCUGGUGUUUAAUCCCGGGGCUCAACCCCGGAUCGCACUGGAAACUGGAUGACUUGAGUGCAGAAGAGGAGAGUGGAAUUCCACGUGUAGCGGUGAAAUGCGUAGAGAUGUGGAGGAACACCAGUGGCGAAGGCGACUCUCUGGGCUGUAACUGACGCUGAGGCGCGAAAGCGUGGGGAGCAAAC
rnacentral:rRNA from 1 species